rnacentral:rRNA from 1 species
GUGCCAGCAGCCGCGGUAAUACGUAGGUGGCAAGCGUUGUCCGGAUUUAUUGGGCGUAAAGCGAGCGCAGGCGGUUUCUUAAGUCUGAUGUGAAAGCCCCCGGCUCAACCGGGGAGGGUCAUUGGAAACUGGGAGACUUGAGUGCAGAAGAGGAGAGUGGAAUUCCAUGUGUAGCGGUGAAAUGCGUAGAUAUAUGGAGGAACACCAGUGGCGAAGGCGGCUCUCUGGUCUGUAACUGACGCUGAGGCUCGAAAGCGUGGGGAGCGAACAGGAUUAGAUACCCUGGUAGUCCACGCCGUAAACGAUGAGUGCUAAGUGUUGGAGGGUUUCCGCCCUUCAGUGCUGCAGCAAACGCAUUAAGCACUCCGCCUGGGGAGUACGACCGCAAGGUUGAAACUCAAAGGAAUUGACGGGGGCCCGCACAAGCGGUGGAGCAUGUGGUUUAAUUCGAAGCAACGCGAAGAACCUUACCAGGUCUUGACAUCCUUUGACCACUCUAGAGAUAGAGCUUCCCCUUCGGGGGCAAAGUGACAGGUGGUGCAUGGUUGUCGUCAGCUCGUGUCGUGAGAUGUUGGGUUAAGUCCCGCAACGAGCGCAACCCUUAUUGUUAGUUGCCAUCAUUUAGUUGGGCACUCUAGCGAGACUGCCGGUGACA